GUAUAAUGAUAGGAUACACAAUGAUGCUAUUCAGCUAAUAAAUAAAGAAGUAAUACUGGACUAUAGUACGAAUAAAAGAGUAAAUGUUAAGUUUAUUUUAAAUAAAUAUCUAAGUAUCAUUAGUUAUUUAAAAAAAGAAAAUUUAGAAUUAAAAAAAAAAAUAGACAAUGUGGAAUUACAAAAUGAUAUAAAACAAAAUAUUAUUAUUCAAUAUGAAAAUGAAAUUAAAAAAAAAAACGACAUCAUUAGUAAAAUGGCAGAAGAAUUAGGAAAAUAUGAUAAAGACAGGUGCGGCAUAAACACAAACGACAUAAACAAAAACCACAUAGACAUGUAUAAUAAUACUAAAGCAUGUGCUAAAAAUGAUAAUGACGAUAGUAGUAAUAAUAUAAAUAAUUAUACCCUCGAUUGUAAUAUGAACACUCGUAGUAAUAAUAAUAAUAAUAAUAAUAAUAUUUUUAGUAUCUACAAAACUACUUACAAAAACACAACAAUACAAGAUAAAGAAAAAGAAGACAAACUAGGAACAAAUAGUACUACUGAUGAUAAUAUACAUAAUAUAAUUUUGUUUAAUAAAAAUAAUUUUAUAAACGAAGAAGAACAGAAAAAAGAAUGUAAUGACAACAAAACUUUAGAUUUUUAUUAUAAUAAUCAUAACAAAUCAAACAAUAAUGAUAAUUGUAUUAACAUAUUAAAAAGCUUGUUACAUAAUAAUUAUGAAGGAGUUUACAAUUAUAACUUUAAUAGUAUUGAAAAUGAAGAUAAGCUUGAAAAUGUUGAUAGCAUUUCCAAAUACCUUAAAAAAUGCGAAGAAGAAUAUAAUAAUAUAAACAACAUACAAAUUGUUGUUAACAGUGAAUCGCAAAAAAAUUUAAAUAAAGAAGAAAUAAAAAAAAAAAUUGAAAAUAUUAAAAAUGAACAAAACCUAUUUAUAGGUAAUUCAUCACAAUGUGAUGAUGUAUUCACGAAUGAAAAAAUUGUCCUUAACAUGGAAAAUGAUAUUUCUAAAGAGAAAAAUGGAAAAAUGGAUAAUAAAUACGACACAAGUAUAAAUUCGUCUGGCAGUGACGAUAAUGACGAUGACAAUGACGAUGACAAUGACGAUGACGAUGACAAUGAUGAUGACAAUGAUGAUGAUAAUGAUGAUAAUAAUGAUGAUGAUAAUGAUGAUGAUAAUGAUGAUGAUAAUGAUGACGAUAAUGAUGAUGAUAAUGAUGAUGAUAAUAAUAAUGAAAAAAAUAAUAAUGAAAAAAAUAAUAAUGAAAAAAAUAAUAAUGAAAAAAAUAAAAAAGACAAUACAUGCCAAUCAAAUAAAGAUAAAGAAGAAAUCCAUACGGAUAAUUUUAACAUAAAUGAAGAAUCAAUAAAUGGCCAC
rnacentral:lncRNA from 1 species